rnacentral:rRNA from 1 species
AGAGUUCGAUCAUGGCUCAGAUUGAACGCUGGCGGUAGGCUUAACACAUGCAAGUCGUGCGAGAAAGUAUCUUCGGAUAUGAGUAAAGCGGCGGACGGGUGAGUAACGCGUAGGAAUCUACCUAGUAGAAGGGGAUAGCCCGAGGAAACUCGGAUUAAUACCGUAUACCUCCUUUGGGAGAAAGAGAGCCUCUCUUUGAAGCUUUCGCUACUAGAUGAGCCUGCGUAAGAUUAGCUUGUUGGUGAGGUAAAGGCUCACCAGGGCUACGAUCUUUAGCGGGUCUGAGAGGACGAUCCGCCACAUUGGGACUGAGACACGGCCCAGACUCCUACGGGAGGCAGCAGUGGGGAAUAUUGGACAAUGGGCGCAAGCCUGAUCCAGCCAUACCGCGUGUGUGAAGAAGGCUCUAGGGUUGUAAAGCACUUUAAGUUGGGAAGAAAAGUUAUUGGCUAAUAUCCAAUAACCGUGACAUUACCAUCAGAAUAAGGACCGGCUAAUUCCGUGCCAGCAGCCGCGGUAAUUC